rnacentral:misc_RNA from 1 species
GUGAAUCAUCGAAUUUUUGAACGCAAAUUGCACUCUCUUCGGAGAGUAUGCCUGUUUGAGGGUCAGCCUAAAAAAAAUAGACAUAGUUGCUGUUUCGAGGUGACGUUCGUCGGAAAUUGGGUCAUCUUAAUCCUUUUGGUUUUAAAGCGCAUUAAAAUUUUUUUUUGAUCCCAUGAACGUUUCUAAGAUUUAUAUUUUUCACGUUUUAAGGUAUUGAUCUUUCUAUGCGUGGGCCGUUU